CGAGUCCCAAACAGGACGAAACGCGCGUCUUGGAU
rfam:Schistosoma mattheei strain Denwood, Zambia genome assembly, scaffold: SMTD_scaffold0004098